rnacentral:rRNA from 1 species
UACGGAGGAUGCAAGCGUUAUCCGGAAUGAUUGGGCGUAAAGGGUCCGCAGGUGGCAGUGUAAGUCUGCUGUCAAAGAAUGAGGCUUAACCUUAUCAAGGCAGUGGAAACUACACAGCUAGAGUACGGUCGGGGUAGAAGGAAUUCCUGGUGUAGCGGUGAAAUGCGUAGAGAUCAGGAAGAACACCGGUGGCGAAAGCGUUCUGCUAGACCUGUACUGACACUGAGGGGCGAAAGCUAGGGGAGCGAAUGGG